rnacentral:rRNA from 1 species
AGCAUAUCAAUAAGCGGAGGAAAAGAAACCAACAGGGAUUGCCCUAGUAACGGCGAGUGAAGCGGCAGAAGCUCAAAUUUGAAAUCUGACAUCUUUGGUGUCCGAAUUGUAAUUUGGAGAGGCAACUUCAGGUAGGACCCAGUCUAUGUUCCUUGGAACAGGACGUCAUAGAGGGUGAGAAUCCCGUUCUUGACUGGCAGUUCCUGCCAGUAUGUAGUGCCCUCUACGAGUCGAGUUGUUUGGGAAUGCAGCUCAAAAUGGGUGGUAAAUUUCAUCUAAAGCUAAAUAUUGGCGAGAGACCGAUAGCGCACAAGUAGAGUGAUCGAAAGAUGAAAAGCACUUUGAAAAUAGAGUCAAAAAGUACGUGAAAUUGUUGAAAGGGAAGCGCUUGAGACCAGACUCAGCCUUUGGCAAACAAGUGUCCUUCUGGGCAGUGCACUUGCCUCGGGUUGGGCCAGUAUCAGUUAGGAUGGUAGGAGAAAGGCUAGGGGAAUGUGACUCCAAUUUGGAGUGUUAUAGAUCCUGGUGUCAUGCUACCUGUCCUGACUGUGGACCGCGCAUUAGCUAGGAUACUGGCAUAAUGGUCUUCAGCGGCCCGUCUUGAAACACGGACCAAGGAGUCUAACAUCUAUGCAAGUGUUUGGGCUACACACCCUCACGCGUAAUGAAAGUAAACGGAGGUGGGAAUUCCGCAAGGAAUGCACCAUCGACCGAUCCUGAUGUCUUCGGAUGGAUUUGAGUAGGAGCAUAGCUGUUGGGACCCGAAAGAUGGUGAACUAUGCCUGAAUAGGGUGAAGCCAGAGGAAACUCUGGUGGAGGCUCGCAGCGGUUCUGACGUGCAAAUCGAUCGUCAAAUUUGGGUAUAGGGGCGAAAGACUAAUCGGAACCAUCUAGUAGCUGGUUCCUGCCGAA